CGCACCUCAGCAGGAAUAGAAGCAUCAGAUUCCUAAUCUGGGAGUCGCGCGUUCGACUAGCGCCGGGAUCACCA
rnacentral:tRNA from 1 species